rnacentral:rRNA from 1 species
AGAGUUUGAUCAUGGCUCAGGACGAACGCUGGCGGCGUUAAUACAUGCAAGUCGAGCGCAUCCCGUAACUCGUCGUUGAUCGGUCGAGCUUCGUGGGGAGAGAAGAAGCCACGAGAAAGACGGAAAAGAGAAAGAAAAUCCGAGCGACGAACGACGAACGACGAGUUACGAGGUGAGCGGCGGACGGGUGAGUAACGCGUGGGCAACCUACCUUCCAGCCCGGGAUAACAGAGCGAAAGAGCUGCUAAAACCGGAUAAACUUCCGACCGGACAUCCGGAGGGGAGCAAAAGCAAUGCUGGGAGAUGGGCCCGCGUCCCAUUAGCUAGUUGGUGAGGUAACGGCCCACCAAGGCGACGAUGGGUAGCCGACCUGAGAGGGUGACCGGCCACACUGGGACUGAGACACGGCCCAGACUCCUACGGGAGGCAGCAGUAGGGAAUUUUCGGCAAUGGGCGCAAGCCUGACCGAGCAACGCCGCGUGAGGGAAGAAGGUUUUCGGAUCGUAAACCUCUGUCUUUGGGGAAGAUAAUGACGGUACCCGAGGAGGAAGCCACGGCUAACUACGUGCCAGCAGCCGCGGUAAUACGUAGGUGGCAAGCGUUGUCCGGAAUUACUGGGCGUAAAGGGCGUGUAGGCGGUUUUUUAAGUCAGGCGUGAAAACUUAGGGCUUAACCUUAAGAGUGCGUUUGAAACUGAGAGACUUGAGGAUCGGAGAGGGCAGUGGAAUUCCCAGUGUAGCGGUGAAAUGCGUAGAUAUUGGGAGGAACACCAGUGGCGAAGGCGACUGCCUGGACGACACCUGACGCUGAGGCGCGAAAGCCAGGGGAGCAAACGGGAUUAGAUACCCCAGUAGUCC